ACCCCGUGUGACCCUGCUAUUGUGUGACCCCCCCACACCUCCUUGCACGUGGUCUGGACCCAGGGACUUGUCGUAAUGUGUCCAGAGUGUCGAGCCACCCCGAGGCCAGUUCACCAAAGACCGUGUGUGACUCAGUCUCGCACCCGCUCGCUUCGAUGGGCCGGCUGCCCGGCUGCGGCGAGAGGCUCGUGGGGGGAAGACCCAGCCCAACCUCGAGACGACGGUGACCCUGGCCGACAUCUGACUGCAGCUUUGUACGAGACGCUGAGCCGGGGGACCUUGACCUACAGAAACGGAGACACAGGGUCUUGCUCUAUCACCCAGACUGGAGUGCAGGACCGCAGGACCUGGCAGGACUGCAGCUCACUGCAGCCUUGAACUGCUAGGAUCAAGUGACCCUCCUGGGACUACAGGGCCUGGCAACCACCAUUCCACUUUCUAUAAACUGGACGAGUCUGUGUAACUCCUGUAAGUGAUAUCAAACAACAUUUGCUCUUUUGUGUCUGGCUUAUUUCAUGGAGCACAGUGUCUUCAAGGUUCAUUCACAUUGUACAGGUGU